UACGGAGGGUGCAAGCGUUAUCCGGAUUCACUGGGGUUAAAGGGCUCGUAGGCGGUUUGUCACGUCGGGAGUGAAAACUCGGGGCUUAACCCCGAGCCUGCUUCCGAUACGGGCUGACUAGAGGUAUGCAGGGGAGAACGGAAUUCCUGGUGUAGCGGUGAAAUGCGUAGAUAUCAAGAGGAACACCUGCGGCGAAGGCGGGUUGCUGGGCCGACACUGACGCUGAGGCGCGAAAGCCAGGGGAGCGAACGGG
rnacentral:rRNA from 1 species